rnacentral:rRNA from 1 species
UACGUAGGGGGCAAGCGUUGUCCGGAAUCAUUGGGCGUAAAGAGCGUGUAGGCGGCCUGGUAAGUCCGCUGUGAAAGUCCAGGGCUCAACCCUGGAAUGCCGGUGGAAACUGUCAGGCUCGAGUCCGGAAGAGGCGAGUGGAAUUCCUGGUGUAGCGGUGGAAUGCGCAGAUAUCAGGAGGAACACCAAUAGCGAAGGCAGCUCGCUGGGACGUUACUGACACUGAGGCGCGAAAGCGUGGGGAGCGAACAGG